rnacentral:tRNA from 1 species
UGGGGGGUAGUAUAACUAUAGAUUACUUUAUUCUGCUAGAAUAAAAAUUCCCUUAACUGGGACUCUCCAG